UGCCCUACAUGGAGCUCAACCCUCAG
rnacentral:piRNA from 1 species